rnacentral:rRNA from 1 species
UACGUAGGGGGCAAGCGUUGUCCGGAUUUAUUGGGCGUAAAGAGCGUGUAGGCGGCUAUACAGGUCCGCUGUGAAAACUCGAGGCUCAACCUCGAGACGUCGGUGGAAACCGUAUGGCUAGAGUCCGGAAGAGGAGAGUGGAAUUCCUGGUGUAGCGGUGAAAUGCGCAGAUAUCAGGAGGAACACCGGUGGCGAAGGCGGUUCUCUGGGCCUGUACUGACGCUGAGGAACGAAAGCGUGGGGAGCGAACAGG